rnacentral:rRNA from 1 species
CCUACGGGUGGCAGCAGUCGAGAAUUUUUCUCAAUGGGGGAAACCCUGAAGGAGCGACGCCGCGUGGAGGAUGAAGGCUUUCGGGUUGUAAACUCCUGUCAUUUGAGAACUAGUAUCAGAAGAGGAAGGGACGGCUAACUCUGUGCCAGCAGCCGCGGUAAUACAGAGGUCCCAAGCGUUGUUCGGAUUCAUUGGGCGUAAAGGGUGCGUAGGUGGCGCCGUAAGUCGGGUGUGAAAUUUCGGAGCUUAACUCCGAAACUGCAUUCGAUACUGCGGUGCUUGAGGACUGGAGAGGAGACUGGAAUUCAUGGUGUAGCAGUGAAAUGCGUAGAGAUCAUGAGGAAGACCAGUGGCGAAGGCGGGUCUCUGGACAGUCCUGACACUGAGGCACGAAGGCCAGGGGAGCAAACGGGAUUAGAUACCCUUGUAGUC